AUACGGAGGGCGCGAGCGUUGUUCGGAAUUAUUGGGCGUAAAGCGUACGUAGGCGGUUGGUUAAGUUAGAUGUGAAAGCCCCGGGCUUAACCAGGGAACUGCAUUUAAAACUGGCGAACUAGAGUUGAGUAGAGGGGAGUGGAAUUUCAGGUGUAGCGGUGAAAUGCGUAGAGAUCUGAAGGAACACCAGUGGCGAAGGCGACUCCCUGGACUCGAACUGACGCUGAGGUACGAAAGCGUGGGUAGCAAACGGGAUUAGAAACCCUAGUAGUCC
rnacentral:rRNA from 1 species